rnacentral:rRNA from 1 species
AUGAACGCUAGCGGCAGGCUUAAUACAUGCAAGUUGAACGGCAGCGGGUUGUAGCAAUACAAUGCCGGCGAGUGGCGCACGGGUGCGUAACACGUAUGCAACCUACCCUAUACUGGGGCAUAACCUUUAGAAAUGAGGGCUAAUACUCCAUGUAAUUAUGAUAAGGCAUCUUUUUAUAAUUAAAGAUUUAUCGGUAUAGGAUGGGCAUGCGUCCCAUUAGUUAGUUGGUAAGGUAACGGCUUACCAAGACUAUGAUGGGUAGGGG